rnacentral:tRNA from 1 species
AAUAGCGUGGCCGAGCGGUCUAAGGCACUGGUUUUAGUCACCAGUCAGAAAUGGCGUGGGUUCGAAUCCCACCGCUGUCA